rnacentral:tRNA from 1 species
GGCUGGGUGGCUCAGUUGGUUAAGCGUCUGCCUUCGGCUCAGAUCAUGAUCCCAGGGUCCUGGGAUCGAAUCCCAGUCAGGCUU